CAGUGGGGGCGUGUAUGAGCUCUGAUGGACAGCUCGGAUUGGUCAUGUGAACAAUACAGGAAGUGAAGGAAGACAGAAAACAGAGCUGUGCAGCAUGGCAGGGGAGGGGGAAAGUGUGGACCCGCAGUGCCAGCAGCAGCCACCUGUGCACAGUUACUGGGCCUCUGACCUCACCGUACGUCACUGCUGAGGAGCGGACUCCAACAGAACUGCAACAGUCGGACGCGGGAGCGGGGCACGAUUUCCACUGGUGACAAUUUUCCUAAUCUGCAGCAGUUUUGAGAUGUAUACACAAGGUCACAGAGGAUUAACCUCUUUACCACACGGGAAAGUCUGCACUGAAAUGACAUUCAGUCUACCGCAAACAAAUACAUCUGUAUGUGAGUAAACAGGUCUA